rnacentral:misc_RNA from 1 species
GGACUACUGGGGUAUCUAAUCCUGUUUGCUACCCACGCUUUCGAGCAUGAACGUCAGUGUUAUCCCAGGAGGCUGCCUUCGCCAUCGGUAUUCCUCCACAUCUCUACGCAUUUCACUGCUACACGUGGAAUUCUACCUCCCUCUGACACACUCUAGUCACCCAGUUCAGAACGCAGUUCCCAGGUUGAGCCCGGGGAUUUCACAUCCUGCUUAAGUAACCGUCUGCGCUCGCUUUACGCCCAGUAAUUCCGAUUAACGCUCGCACCCUACGUAUUACCGCGGCUGCUGGCACU